CCACGUUUCCUGUGAGGGCUUCAUAUGAGAAGAGGUUCUUUCUGACACCCACUCGCCCCAUUCCUGAAAUACCUGCCAGGCGGCUUUAAUGAACGGCUGCAGCACCUGCCAAGCCAGACCCAGGCACCCAACCCUGCUGCGCUCCCUCUGCAUUUCCCAACCAUCCCAGCCAAGGCCUACGUUCCAAAUGCAGCCGCGGAUGUGGAGUCAAGGCGUGCCAGAGAACCGGGGCACCUGCGGUUGUCCGACGCUUUUAAAAGCUACCUGGGAGAACCACCUCCGUCUGGCAUCCUGUGCAGAGUGAAUAGACAGCUCUGACUCCAAAAACAAUCCCUCCAAUAAAUGAUAACAUGAAGAUAAUAUCUGAAGCUCUUAUUUCUCUCUGGUCUGAUAUUGGAGGGUCUGUCAAUAUUCCUUUUCAUUACAUUUUAUUUUUUUUAUUCAGGGCCUGUUACAAUCUAAAUGGUUUCUAGGUGCUUGAAACCCAGGACCUGACCCCCCCAACCCAGAAACUCCCCUUUAACAGGAAGAAACAGAUUGCACUGAUACCGGCAGCUGUCACAGCCCCUUUUCUCCAGUUCCCUCCUGUCCCAGUACUUUUCCACUGCCCUGCUCACACCACACCCUCUGAUCACCACACCUGCUCUCAGUCACUGAUCACACACCUGCUCUCAGUCACUGAUCACACACCUGCCCUCACUCAUCAAUCAGCUCACCUACCAGUGUAUAUAUUCUCCAGCCUCACACUCACUCAGUGCCAGAUUGUUCUUCUGCUUUCAUGCAAGACUUUCCAGCGUUGUUUCCCUGCCGGAUUACCCGUUACCGACCCUGCCUGUCUUCGUUCUGCCUGCCUUGCCUGUUCCCCGGACAACCUACCUGCUUUCUGCCCCUGACUACGACUUCUGCCUCAGCGUCUCUGGUUCCUGUCUGCUGAACCUGGUUUAGACUUCUCCGCCCGGCUCGGGCUUCGCUGCUGCUCGUCCCACUCCCCGAGCCUGCAACCCAUAGACUUUGUGCGGGCCCAGAGCCUGAAGAACGGACUAUUUCCUGUGUUUCCUGGUCUGCCUGAGUUCCUGUUUGCCCGUGUGUGUUAAUAAAAGUCAUUACUACGGUCCAGCUUUCCAGAGUGCUGCAUUUGGGUCCUAACUGCACCCGUCACAGCAGCAGCUUCUGAACUGCUCGCUGUAUUCAACCUAAACAGCAGCCGGUUACAGAUUAAACAGCAGGACUAAUUAUACAAUUCUAAUUUAUGAGGAUUUACGAAAAUAUUUCACAAAAAGGCAUAAAAUAGGCAAAAUGUCACCCACAGAUGAAAAGGUAAGUGUAAAUUUGGCUUCAGG
rnacentral:lncRNA from 1 species